UACGUAGGGGGCGAGCGUUGUCCGGAUUUAUUGGGCGUAAAGAGCUCGUAGGCGGUUUGGCAAGUCGGGUGUGAAAACUCCGGGCUCAACUCGGAGACGCCACUCGAUACUGCCAUGACUCGAGUCCGGUAGGGGAGUGCGGAAUUCCUGGUGUAGCGGUGAAAUGCGCAGAUAUCGGGAGGAACACCAGUGGCGAAGGCGGAACUCUGGGCCGGAACUGACGCUGAGGAGCGAAAGCGUGGGGAGCGAACAGG
rnacentral:rRNA from 1 species